rnacentral:rRNA from 1 species
CAGCCGCCGCGGUAAUACGGAGGAUGCAAGCGUUAUCCGGAUUUAUUGGGUUUAAAGGGUGCGUAGGCGGGAUUAUAAGUCAGCGGUGAAAGUUUGAGGCUCAACCUUAAAAUUGCCGUUGAAACUGUUUUUCUUGAGUAUAUUUGAGGUAGGCGGAAUUCGUGGUGUAGCGGUGAAAUGCAUAGAUAUCACGAAGAACUCCAAUUGCGAAGGCAGCUUACUAAACUAUAACUGACGCUGAAGCACGAAAGCGUGGGUAUCAAACAGGAUUAGAUACCCUGGUAGUCCACGCCGUAAACGAUGAUUACUAGCUGUUUGUGAUAUUACAAUAAGCGGCUAAGCGAAAGCGAUAAGUAAUCCACCUGGGGAGUACGCCGGCAACGGUGAAACUUAAAGGAAUUGGCGGG